rnacentral:rRNA from 1 species
AGUGAACGCUGGCGGUAGGCCUAACGCAUGCAAGUCGAACGGCAGCACAGUAAGAGCUUGCUCUUACGGGUGGCGAGUGGCGGACGGGUGAGGAAUACAUCGGAAUCUACUUUUUCGUGGGGGAUAACGUAGGGAAACUUACGCUAAUACCGCAUACGACUUACGGGUGAAAGCAGGGGAUCUUCGGACCUUGCGCGAUUGAAUGAGCCGAUGUCGGAUUAGCUAGUUGGCGGGGUAAAGGCCCACCAAGGCGACGAUCCGUAGCUGGUCUGAGAGGAUGAUCAGCCACACUGGAACUGAGACACGGUCCAGACUCCUACGGGAGGCAGCAGUGGGGAAUAUUGGACAAUGGGCGCAAGCCUGAUCCAGCCAUACCGCGUGGGUGAAGAAGGCCUUCGGGUUGUAAAGCCCUUUUGUUGGGAAAGAAAAGCAGCAGGUUAAUACCCCGCUGUUCUGACGGUACCCAAAGAAUAAGCACCGGCUAACUUCGUG